UAGAAACUGAUCUCUGAAAGU
rnacentral:piRNA from 1 species